CGAAACCAUGGCCUCACGCCUAUCACCUUUCAUCAUUAGUUUCAUCAAACAUAUUUUUCAAAAAAAAACAUAUCCAAAAAGAGGUAGUCACUCGUCAAGAACAUGAUUUUCACAACAAAGUGAAAUGAGACAUCUAAAAAAAAAAACACAUUUGUUUCAUAUUAUCAUAUCAUAUGCAGCUGCUACUUCUAUACAUUGUGAACCAAGUGUUGAACAUUGUAGAGAGAUCAAACAAACAACAGCAAUCAGUAGCCAUAAGAGGAAUAACUCAUGUAGUUGUAUCUGGACCUUACAUUGUUGCCGUCGUAGGCCGGAUCGGCGUAGUCGACGGCCUUGAUCACCAUUGCCUCCCGGCGCCCGUCCUGCUCCUGGACUGCCCCAAACACGAUCUCGUUCGUCUCGCAGUUCUGAGGCUCGUAGUAGGUCUGCGCGCUCGAUGGCCGGUGCUUCUGGUGGUGCUGAUGAUGCUGCAGUUGCGGUUGCUGAUAGUUGUGGCCGUGGUCGUUCN
rnacentral:lncRNA from 1 species